CUCAGCCUGAAAAAAACGUGGGACGUGUCGCCCAUUGCGUAAAAAGAGCGCCACUCCCUCCUUUUCUUUUGCUUUCCAUGGGCCAAGCGUUUACCUUCAUAAUAGUUCUUCUUACAUAUUCUCUUCCCUCGCUCCCUCCCUCACGCAUCCACAGUUCUUUAUAAAUUCCCAUGAUCCGAUCCAAUCCCUGACCACACCCUUUCCCUCUCGCAGCUCUUUAAUCCCAUUUCCCAUCUCCGUUUUUUCGUCUCUUUCUUCCAUCAUUUACAUCUUGUACUUCUAAACCAAGCAUUAUCUCUCUGCUUUUUCCGGAUCGGUGCUCUAGUCCAACUCAUCAAUGGCCGUUGCCACCGAUAAGCUCACUCC
rnacentral:misc_RNA from 1 species